rnacentral:tRNA from 2 species
CAUCAGAUGACUGAAUGUAAGUAAUGGUCUCUUAAACCAAUUUAUAGUAGCUACACCUACUUCUGAUGA